rnacentral:rRNA from 1 species
GAUUGGGACCCGCCCCACUUCUAGGGGAGGCAGAUUGGGGAAUUUUGGCAUGGGGGGAACCCGGGCCCCAGAACUUCCGUGUGAAGAAGAAGGUUUUUGGAUUGUAAACUCCGUUCCUUGGAGGGGAUUAGAUGACGUAUCCCAAGAGGGAGUCCCCGCCUAAUUACGUGCCAGCAGCCGCGGUAAUUCAUAGGGGGCACGCGUGGUCCGGAAUAUUUGGAUGUAAAGGCCGCGUAGGCGCAUCGGUAAGUCUGGAGUGAAAGUCAUGCUUUUAAGGUGGAACUUGCUUUGGAUACAGUCGGUCUUGAGUGCAGAAGAGGUUAGUGGAAUUCCCAGUGUAGCGGUGAAAUGUGUAGAGAUUGGGAGGUACACCAGUGGCGAAGGAGAGUCAGCAGCAUGUACCUGACGCUGAGGCUCGAAAGUGUGGGGAGCUAACACGAUCAGAUAUCCUCGUAGUCCUCACAGUGAACGAUGAGUGCUAGGCGUAGGGGGUAUCGACCCAUUAUGUGCUGCAGUCAACACAAUAAGCAUUCCGCGUGGGGAGUACGCCAGCAAGGUUGAAAGUCAUAGUAAUUGACGGGGGCCAGCACAAGCAGGGGAGCAUGUGGUUUAAUUGGACGCAACGGCGAAGAACCUUACCAGGUCGUGACAUCCAAUCAAGACUCCACAGAGAUGUGAGGUGUGCUUCCACAAAAUGAGACCGGUGGUGCAUGGUGGUCGUCAGCUCGUGUGCUGAGAUGUUGGGUUAAGUCGCGCAGCGAGCGCAAGCAUGGUGUUCAUUUACUACAGGGCAUAGCUGAGGACUUUGAAGAGAUCACCGGUGACAAGUAGGCGGAAGGGGGUGAGGAGGUCUCAUCUUCAUGCUCAUUGUAGCGUGGCAGACUCGCGUCAUACAAUGGCCGGGACAGAGAGAAGAGAAGUCGCAAGGUAGAGCGGAACUCAUAAAAGCGGUCGCAGUUUGGAUUGUGGGAUGCAACCGGCCCACAUGUAGUGGGAGUUGCUAGUAAUUGCCGAUCAGCCUGCCGCGGAUAAUACGGUCCCGGCCGUAGUACACCCCGCCCG